rnacentral:rRNA from 1 species
UACGGAGGGGGCUAGCGUUGUUCGGAAUUACUGGGCGUAAAGCGCACGUAGGCGGCCUUGCAAGUCUGGGGUGAAAUCACGGAGCUCAACUCCGGAACUGCAUUAGAAACUGCAUAGCUCGAGUUCGGAAGAGGUGAGGGGAAUUCCCAGUGUAGAGGUGAAAUGCGUAGAGAUUGGGAAGAACACCGGUGGCGAAGGCGGCCCACUGGGCCGAAACUGACGCUGAGGGGCGAAAGCGUGGGGAGCGAACGGG